CCUACGGGCGGCAGCAGUGGGGAAUAUUGGACAAUGGGCGAAAGCCUGAUCCAGCCAUGCCGCGUGUGUGAAGAAGGCCUUCGGGUUGUAAAGCACUUUCAGUGGGGAAGAAAGCCUUGGGGCUAAUACCCUCGAGGAAGGACAUCACCCAUAGAAGAAGCACCGGCUAACUCCGUGCCAGCAGCCGCGGUAAUACGGAGGGUGCGAGCGUUAAUCGGAAUUACUGGGCGUAAAGCGCGCGUAGGCGGUCUGAUAAGCCGGUUGUGAAAGCCCCGGGCUCAACCUGGGAACGGCAUCCGGAACUGUCAGGCUAGAGUGCAGGAGAGGAAGGUAGAAUUCCCGGUGUAGCGGUGAAAUGCGUAGAGAUCGGGAGGAAUACCAGUGGCGAAGGCGGCCUUCUGGACUGACACUGACGCUGAGGUGCGAAAGCGUGGGUAGCAAACAGGAUUAGAUACCCGAGUAGUC
rnacentral:rRNA from 1 species